UGAGACACGGGCUGUUGUUUAGGGGGUUUGGAUUGUUUGUAGCUGAAGGCUGAAGUCAGACGUCAGGAUGUUUAACCCUCACCAGCAGCAGCAGCAGCAUCAGUUUCAUCAGCACCUCCGGCAGCUGCAGCAGCUGUUUCAGCAGCAGACGCCUCCUCCUCCGCCGCCUCCUCCCCCUCCUCCACCUCCCCCCGCCCAUCACAUCACACACACACGGUCUCUGGCGGCUCCUGCUCCUGCUUCUGCUCGUAUGGUCAACCUGUGCUCAGCCACGCAGACCAUCAUCGCUCCCAACCCCAUGCUGCAGGGGGCGCUGCUCAUGCAGCAGAUGCAGGCGGGCGGCAUGCGUGGCUUUGCGAUGGGGGGUCAGCAGUUUCCUCAGUUCUUCACUGCGGGCUCCAGAGCGUCUCUUCUGGGACCCGUUCCGAUGGGAGUCGCCAUCAAAACCCCUCACAUGGGAUUCCAGCGACACUUCACGCCACACGCGCGCUAUUUCACCAACGAGUUUCAGGCUCGUCAGCCGGACAGGAAGAGGGAAAACGAGCAGAAGUCUGCGGGCAGCAGCGACAGCCAAUCAGAAGCCAGCAGCAGAAGAGCAGAUGAAGCGUCCGCUGCUGGAUGUCAGGAGUCUUCAGAGCAGCCCGAUGAACCAGAGGCCAAAAAACACAAAACACAAGAGUCAGAAGAGCCUGUGGAGACAGAAUCAGCUCAAAGCCCUGAAUAUAAGAGCCCAGAUCCUGCAGAGCUCACUCUGCAGGAGGAAGGCGUGGACGGAGCGCUGGCCGCUGAAGCAGACGAACCGAGUCCAGCCGCCGAGCAGGUUGAAAGCACUGAAGCGCCAGCUGAGCAGCAGAUCAGCGAGGGUCCAGACGCCGCCGCAGGCUCUGAUUCAGUCCCGGAGAUCAAGGAGACCACGGACACUGCUGAGGACGUCAAAGACACAGCGGCAGAGACCUCCAACAAGUUCUUCUGCUAUAUUUGCAACAUCACUUGCCAUAACCAGCAAAGUUUCCAGAGCCAUAUGAACGGCCUGACGCACCAGCAGAAGAUGAUGGAGAUCCAGCACAUGAGCAACGCGUGUCUCGUCACGCUGCUGCCGCGAGUCCAGGAGUCCCUGCAAGGAGCUCGCAGAGACGGUGAGAAGAGGCCGGGUCUGCAGAGAUGGUGCUCCACCUGCCAGACGCACUUCACCACCAACGUCACGGAGCACCGCAGGACCAAGGAGCACAAGCGCUGUAUCCGCUCGUCCAGCUCCAGCUGCACCGUGUGUAAGCUGCACUUCAGGACGUCCAGAGAGUUUGUGGAGCACAUGCAGUCGCCGGAGCACCAGCAGCGAGUCCAGCAGGUGAUGUUCAGUCAUGCGCUGUGGAAGGAGUCGGGCAAAGCCUGCGCAGAUCAGCUCAACGCCGACAUGUUUCUGGGUGAAGAGGACGGAGAUUAAAAUGAUUGCGAUGACGAGAGAGAGGAAGAGGAGAACGGGAAGGAGGGUGUGGCUGCACAGAUGGAGGUCACUCUGGAGGAUCUGAGUGAAGACGAGGAGUUUGAUUCAGACACUGUGUAUGGCUCGAGCUUCGUGGUGCCCGUUGCAGGCUUCAUCUGUCGUCUCUGUGAUCAGUUCUAUCACUUCGAGUCUUCGGCUCGACACACACACUGCACGACGCUCACACAACUUCCAGAAUCUCAAGCGUUAUAAAGCCUUAAAGAAACAGGAAGAGUCCAGCUCAA